rnacentral:rRNA from 1 species
AUUGAACGCUGGCGGCAGGCCUAACACAUGCAAGUCGAGCGGUAACAGGAAGUAGCUUGCUACUUUGCUGACGAGCGGCGGACGGGUGAGUAAUGCCUGGGAAUUUGCCCAUUCGAGGGGGAUAACAGUUGGAAACGACUGCUAAUACCGCAUACGCCCUACGGGGGAAAGGAGGGGACCUUCGGGCCUUCCGCGAAUGGAUAAGCCCAGGUGGGAUUAGCUAGUAGGUGAGGUAAUGGCUCACCUAGGCGACGAUCCCUAGCUGUUCUGAGAGGAUGAUCAGCCACACUGGGACUGAGACACGGCCCAGACUCCUACGGGGAGGCAGCAGUGGGGAAUAUUGCACAAUGGGCGCAAGCCUGAUGCAGCCAUGCCGCGUGUGUGAAGAAGGCCUUCGGGUUGUAAAGCACUUUCAGUCGUGAGGAAGGUAGUGUAGUUAAUAGCUGCAUUAUUUGACGUUAGCG